rnacentral:rRNA from 1 species
GACGAACGCUGGCGGCGUGCUUAACACAUGCAAGUCGAACGGAAAGGCCCUGCUUUUGUGGGGUGCUCGAGUGGCGAACGGGUGAGAAACACGUGAGUAACCUGCCCUUGACUUUGGGAUAACUUCAGGAAACUGGGGCUAAUACCGGAUAGGAGCUCCUGCUGCAUGGUGGGGGUUGGAAAGUUUCGGCGGUUGGGGAUGGACUCGCGGCUUAUCAGCUUGUUGGUGGGGUAGUGGCUUACCAAGGCUUUGACGGGUAGCCGGCCUGAGAGGGUGACCGGCCACAUUGGGACUGAGAUACGGCCCAGACUCCUACGGGAGGCAGCAGUGGGGAAUAUUGCACAAUGGGCGGAAGCCUGAUGCAGCAACGCCGCGUGCGGGAUGACGGCCUUCGGGUUGUAAACCGCUUUCGCCUGUGACGAAGCGUGAGUGACGGUAAUGGGUAAAGAAGCACCGGCUAACUACGU